rnacentral:pre_miRNA from 1 species
CAAAUACUCCCUCUGUCCGGAAAUACUUGUCAUCAAAAUGGAUAAAAGGAAAUGUAUCUAGACGUAUUUUAGUUUUAGAUACAUCUCUUUUUAUCCAUUUUGAUGACAAGUAUUUUCGGACGGAGGGAGUAUAAA